CCACGGCAACCAGUCUCCAUCCGAGCUUCUACAGUAAGUGGCCUCCUUCCAGACUCCUACAAGAAUCGGACUCCAUCUGAACUUCUACAGUGGAUGAAUUCUAGACGAACUUCGACAACGGACAGGCUCCAGCAGUCGGAUUUCUAUAGUGACUGACUGUCUCCAGUGUCUUCCAUACCUCUCCAGCCAUCAACCUUCAACAGUGCCAACCGGACUUCAAUAGUGCCAACCAGACCCCUCCAACAGACAAAUUCCCUCCGGACCCCUCCAGCGGUCGACCUUCCACAGUAUCCUCCAGACUCCUCCAGUGGACGAACUUCCACAAAGCCUUCCAGACUCUUCUAUCAGUCAACCUUCUAUAGCACCUUCUAAAUUCCGC
rnacentral:lncRNA from 1 species